rnacentral:rRNA from 1 species
UUGUGUCUUCGAGUCGUUGAUUUCACACUGCCGAGAAAAGCCUCUAGAUAGAAAAUAGGUGCCCGUACCGCAAACCGACACAGGUAGUCAAGAUGAGAAUUCUAAGGUGAGCGAGCGAACUCUCGUUAAGGAACUCGGCAAAAUGACCCCGUAACUUCGGGAGAAGGGGUGCUCUUUAGGGUUAACGCCCAGAAGAGCCGCAGUGAAUAGGCCCAAGCGACUGUUUAUCAAAAACACAGGUCUCUGCUAAACCGUAAGGUGAUGUAUAGGGGCUGACGCCUGCCCGGUGCUGGAAGGUUAAGAGGAGUGGUUAGCUUCUGCGAAGCUACGAAUCGAAGCCCCAGUAAACGGCGGCCGUAACUAUAACGGUCCUAAGGUAGCGAAAUUCCUUGUCGGGUAAGUUCCGACCCGCACGAAAGGCGUAACGAUUUGGGCACUGUCUCAACGAGAGACUCGGUGAAAUCAUAGUACCUGUGAAGAUGCAGGUUACCCGCGACAGGACGGAAAGACCCCGUGGAGCUUUACUGUAGCCUGAUAUUGAAAUUCGGCACAGCUUGUACAGGAUAGGUAGGAGCCUUUGAAACGUGAGCGCUAGCUUACGUGGAGGCGCUGGUGGGAUACUACCCUAGCUGUGUU